UCUCCUGGAAAACGGGUGGUAAUGCCGGAUGUUCCACAUGAUCGCAUGUGAUUGUGGGAAAGAUUCUAUCGGCGUGGGAUGGGGUCGCGUCCUAUCAGCUUGUUGGUGAGGUAACGGCUCACCAAGGCUUCGACGGGUAGCCGGCCUGAGAGGGCGACCGGCCACAUUGGGACUGAGAUACGGCCCAGACUCCUACGGGAGGCAGCAGUGGGGAAUAUUGCACAAUGGGCGCAAGCCUGAUGCAGCGACGCCGCGUGAGGGAUGGAGGCCUUCGGGUUGUAAACCUCUUUUGUUUGGGAGCAAGCCUUCGGGUGAGUGUACCUUUCGAAUAAGCGCCGGCUAACUACGUGCCAGCAGCCGCGGUAAUACGUAGGGCGCAAGCGUUAUCCGGAUUUAUUGGGCGUAAAGGGCUCGUAGGCGGCUCGUCGCGUCCGGUGUGAAAGUCCAUCGCUUAACGGUGGAUCUGCGCCGGGUACGGGCGGGCUGGAGUGCGGUAGGGGAGACUGGAAUUCCCGGUGUAACGGUGGAAUGUGUAGAUAUCGGG
rnacentral:rRNA from 1 species